GGGGGGGGGGGCAAGCGUUGUUCGGAAUUACUGGGCGUAAAGGGCGCGCAGGCGGGGGGCGGGAAAGUCUCUCGUGAAAUCCCACGGGCUCAACCGUGGAAUUGCGGGAGAUACUACUCGUCUUGAGUUCGGGAGAGGAGUGUGGAAUUCCCAGUGUAGCGGUGAAAUGCGUAGAUAUUGGGAGGAACACCGGUGGCGAAGGCGGCACUCUGGACCGAUACUGACGCUGAGGCGCGAAAGCUAGGGGAGCAAACGGGAUUAGAUACCCCGGUAGUCCUAGCUGUAAACGCUGAGCACUUGGUGUAGCGGGUAUCGACCCCUGCUGUGCCGAAGCUAACGCAUUAAGUGCUCCGCCUGGGGAGUACGGUCGCAAGGCUG
rnacentral:rRNA from 1 species